GAUGAACGCUGGCGGCGUGCCUAAUACAUGCCAGUCGAGCGAACAGACGAGGAGCUUGCUCCUCUGACGUUAGCGGCGGACGGGUGAGUAACACGUGGAUAACCUACCUAUAAGACUGGGAUAACUUCGGGAAACCGGAGCUAAUACCGGAUAAUAUAUUGAACCGCAUGGUUCAAUAGUGAAAGACGGUUUUGCUGUCACUUAUAGAUGGAUCCGCGCCGCAUUAGCUAGUUGGUAAGGUAACGGCUUACCAAGGCAACGAUGCGUAGCCGACCUGAGAGGGUGAUCGGCCACACUGGAACUGAGACACGGUCCAGACUCCUACGGGAGGCAGCAGUGGGGAAUCUUACGCAAUGGGCGAAAGCCUGACGGAGCAACGCCGCGUGAGUGAUGAAGGUCUUCGGAUCGUAAAACUCUGUUAUUAGGGAAGAACAAAUGUGUAAGUAACUAUGCACGUCUUGACGGUACCUAAUCAGAAAGCCACGGCUAACUACGU
rnacentral:rRNA from 1 species